GGUCAAACAAUGUAAGGCUUACGGUGGAUACCUAGGCACCCAGAGACGAAGAAGGGCGUGGAAACCAACGAAAUGCUCCGAGGAGCUGGAAACAAGCUUUGAUCCGGAGAUCCCCGAAUAGGGCAACCUCUAGAACUACCUGUUGAAUUCAUAGAUAGGAGAGAGACAACCCGGUGAAUUGAAACAUCUUAGUAGCCGGAGGAAAAGAAAGCAAAAGCGAUUCCCUGAGUAGCGGCGAGCGAAAUGGGAUCAGCCUAAACCGACCUUACAUGUAGGGUCGGGGUCGUGGGAGGAAAUAGCCUCUUGUCCCAGUGUGUCGGCAAGACAUUUCUGGCGAGAAGAGCGGUAUGCACGCAUCAGCGUCUCUGUUUGGUUGAACAUAACCAAAUGUAGAGUCGCUCUUGAUAUGCUACUUGUCUAGACGAAGCAGCUGAAUCCUGCACCAAAGAUGGUGAAAGUCCAGUAGUUGAAAGAUGAGUUGCUGUGAUAUUGGUACUUGUGAGUUGCUUGGGGCAUUGGUCCUAGGCAUCCGUAUCUAUUUCUCAUCCCGAGUAGCAUGGGACACGUGAAACCCCGUGUGAAUCAGCGAGGACCACCUCGUAAGGCUAAAUACUCCUGGGUGACCGAUAGUGAAGAAGUACCGUGAGGGAAAGGUGAAAGAGAACCCCUGAAGGGGAGUGAAACAGCGCAUGAAACCGUAAUCUGACAAGCAGUGGGAGGGGCAUGAGCCCUGACCGCGUGCCUGUGGAAGAAUGAGCCGGCGACUUAUAGGGAGUGGCAGGGUUAAGGAGUUUCUCCGAAGCCAAAGCGAAAGCAAGUCUUAAUAGGGCGAGAAGACGUCACUUCUUAUGGACCCGAACCCGGGUGAUCUAACCAUGGCCAGGAUGAAGCUUGGGUAACACCAAGUGGAAGUCCGAACUCAUCGAUGUUGAAAAAUCGUGGGAUGAGCUGUGGUUAGGGGUGAAAUGCCAAUCGAACUCGGAGCUAGCUGGUUCUCCCCGAAAUGCGUUGAGGCGCAGCGGUUGACGAGGAACCUCGUUUGAGGCCAUGAGCUGUCUAGGGGUAAAGCACUGUAUCGGUGCGGGCUGCGAGAGCGGUACCAAAUCGUAGCAAACUAAGAAUACUAGGCAUGUCUUUCCGUCAACCAGUGAGACAGUGGGGGAUAAGCUCCAUUGUCAAGAGGGAAACAGCCCAGAUCACCAGCUAAGGCCCCUGAAUGAUCGCUAAGUGGAAAAGGAGGUGAGAAUGCCGAAACAGCCAGAAGGUUUGCUUAGAAGCAGCCAUCCUUUAAAGAGUGCGUAAUAGCUCACUGGUGGAGCGUUCUUGCGCCGAAAAUUUACGGGACUAAGCGAUCUGCCGAAGCUGUGGGAUACCAGCACAAGGAGCUGGUAUCGGUAGGGGAGCGUUCCGCCUUAGGGUGAAGCAUUGGUGUAAACCGGUGUGGACGAAGCGGAAGUGAGAAUGUCGGCUUGAGUAACGCAAACAUUGGUGAGAAUCCAAUGCCCCGAAAACCUAAGGGUUCCUUCACUAGGUUCGUCCAUGGAGGGUUAGUCGGGUCCUAAGGCUAGGCCGAAAGGCGUCGUCGAUGGGAAACAGGUUAACAUUCCUGUACUUCUUCUUGGUUGGCACCGAGGGACGAAGGAGGCACGAGGUGACCAAAAUUGGAUUUUGGUGGAAAUGACUGAGGCUAGGAGAGAUAGAAAAGAAACUAUUCUUGAGCUGAAUCAUGACACGGCCCCAUUGUUAGCUGCAACCUUCGGGGAGUGGCUUUGUGGGGUUCACUUCUCUCUGUCAAACUUCCUAGAAAAGCUCGAACUGCUGCAAUACCAAGAUGAACCCGUACCCGAAACCGACACAGGUAGGUGGGUAGAGAAUACCUAGGGGCGCGAGACAACUCUCUCUAAGGAACUCGGCAAAAUGGCCCCGUAACUUCGGGAGAAGGGGUGCCCCCGCAAGGGGGCCGCAGUGACCAGGCCCAGGCGACUGUUUACCAAAAACACAGGUCUCCGCUACGUCGCAAGACAAGAUAUGGGGGCUGACGCCUGCCCGGUGCCGGAAGGUGAAGGAAGUUGGUUAUUCCUCGGAAGAAGCUGGCGACCGAAGCCCCGGUGAACGGCGGCCGUAACUAUGACGGUCCUAAGGUAGCGAAAUUCCUUGUCGGGUAAGUUCCGACCCGCACGAAAGGCGUAACGAUCUGGGCACUGUCUCAGAGAGAGACUCGGUGAAAUAGACAUGUCCGUGAAGAUGCGGACUUCCUACACCUGGACAGAAAGACCCUAUGAAGCUUUACUGUAACCUGGAAUUGGGUUUGGGCCCCUCUUGCGCAGCCUAGGUGGGAGGCUAUGAGAGCUCUCUUCCGGGAGAGCUGGAGCCAUCAGUGAGAGACCACUCUGGAGGGGCUAGAAUUCUAAUGGUGCUCCUUGAAACAGGACACUUGACAGUUUCAGGUGGGCAGUUUGACUGGGGCGGUCACCUCCUAAAAGGUAACGGAGGUGUGCAAAGGUUCCCUCAGGCUGGACGGAAAUCAGCCGUAGAGUGUAAAGGCAUAAGGGGGCUUGACUGCAAGACCUACAAGUCGAGCAGGGGCGAAAGCCGGCCUUAGUGAUCCGACGGUGCCGAGUGGAAGGGCCGUCGCUCAACGGAUAAAAGUUACUCUAGGGAUAACAGGCUGAUCUUCCCCAAGAGUUCACAUCGACGGGAAGGUUUGGCACCUCGAUGUCGGCUCAUCGCAACCUGGGGCGGUAGUACGUCCCAAGGGUUGGGCUGUUCGCCCAUGAAAGCGGUACGUGAGCUGGGUUCAGAACGUCGUGAGACAGUUCGGUCCAUAUCCGGUGUAGGCGCUAGAGCAUUGAGGGGAGCCUUCCAUAGUACGAGAGGACCUGGAAGGACGCACCUCUGGUAUACCAGUUCUCCUGCCAAGGGGACACGCUGGGUAGCUAUGUGCGGAGCGGAUAACUGCUGAAAGCAUCUAAGUAGGAAGCCCACCCCAAGAUGAGUGCUCUCUGCCCUUUGAGGCUAUAGGUCACAGCAAGACAAGCUGUUUGAUAGGUGUCAAGUGUAAGGCCAGCAAUGGCUGUAGCUGAGGCAUACUAACAGACCUAUCGAGUUUGACCUC
rnacentral:rRNA from 1 species